ACUCCUACGGGAGGCAGCAGUAGGGAAUCUUCCACAAUGGGCGCAAGCCUGAUGGAGCAACACCGCGUGAGUGGAGAAGGGUUUCGGCUCGUAAAGCUCUGUUGUUAAAGAAGAACACGUAUGAGAGUAACUGUUCAUACGUUGACGGUAUUUAACCAGAAAGUCACGGCUAACUACGUGCCAGCAGCCGCGGUAAUACGUAGGUGGCAAGCGUUAUCCGGAUUUAUUGGGCGUAAAGAGAGUGCAGGCGGUUUUCUAAGUCUGAUGUGAAAGCCUUCGGCUUAACCGGAGAAGUGCAUCGGAAACUGGAUAACUUGAGUGCAGAAGAGGGUAGUGGAACUCCAUGUGUAGCGGUGGAAUGCGUAGAUAUAUGGAAGAACACCAGUGGCGAAGGCGGCUACCUGGUCUGCAACUGACGCUGAGACUCGAAAGCAUGGGUAGCGAACAGGAUUAGAUACCCUGGUAGGAUAGCG
rnacentral:rRNA from 1 species